GAGAAACUCUGGGUUUCAUUGGGAGAUGGGAAGUCACUGAUCUGUGUUUCUCAAGGCUCAGAGAGGCCAGUGGGGGACAUCAGCCCUGUGAGGAGGGUGCUGUGAAACCCCCUCCCCAGGUGUGGGGAGGAAGCGCAGAGCAAAGAGUGGGGAGGAGCCUCUCUCCUGCCGAGUGCAGUGAGGUGGGGCUGCCAUCAUAUCUCCUGGAGAAAGUGGCUGAGGCUUUGGGAUGAGCCUGGCCUCGCGGAGAAUAAGCAGCUGGUCCAUAUUUGAACCCAGGUCUGCCCCCCUGGGCAGUGCCAUGCUCUGUGCUACACUGCCUGCCUCUUGGGUAGAUGUGGGCGGCCGGCACCUGGGCUUUGCCUCUCUUAUCUACACCGAGGAUCCACUUCUGGGAUCUUGGGGACUGGGAGCAGCACCCUCGCCCUCCGGUCAUCUACAAGCAUCGGGGACCACAGACACCAGAGGGUUAGCCAACAGUCACUGUCCCUCCAGCCCCACAAGACCCCUGCCAUCACCCAGCUCCUCCUCUGGACCCUCUGGGCCUCCCACCAUCCACCAACUGGAAGGGCAGCAUAGGACCCUGGGGCCGCUUCCUGCUCCAGCGCCCUGCUGGUGUCCUUUCCCACGGUCAGAGCUGGGCUCCAGUGAGAGUACUGCCCUCCUCAGACAGAGGGACAGGGCCGAGGGCAGCUCCCGAGGCAGGUGGCGUCACCUCUGCCUUCCCUGCCCAUCAGCAUUUUCUCCUCUCCCUCCUCCCUCCGUCUGGGUACCUCUCUCUCUCCCCUUGCCCUCCACCACCCUCUCUUCCUGCCUCUGCCCUCCUUCGUCUCCUCUGCAGGCAGGCAGGGUUCAGCCAGAGUGUGCAUGGCCCUCCUGGGGAUCAGCCCUCCUGGGUGCAGUCAGCGCUCAUCCCUGCUUGGAGCUUCCAGCCCAGGUCCUCAUCUUCCUGACUCCUCCCUCCCUCAUUCAUUAUUCAUCUGAAGGUUUCUGACUCUGGGCCAGGCUCUGUUUCCAGUACUCGAG
rnacentral:lncRNA from 1 species